GGUGGCUCUGUGGUAGAGUGCUUGCCUUGCAUGCAUGAGACCCUGGGUUCAAUUCCUCAGCACCA
rnacentral:tRNA from 1 species